UUCUCCUGAACAGAAACAUGAAAAGAAUGAAAAUGAACCAUAAAGAUUAGCAUGGCCCUAACACAAGGAUGUCAAGCAAAAAUUGAGAAAUGGUCCAAAUAUUU